AUGAGAACGUCUUUUGCAUAGUGAGCUUCCACUCGGCGGCAGGCACCACCGGACUCUGCAGAUGCUUCUGGUCCACCCUUGUCGUCAGACGACGGCUUUUUCGCUUGCCGGUUUUUUCGUUUUUUUCCCGAUUUCCGAGGGACUAACACUUUUUUGGUCCUGCUGACCGCCUAUGUGGACUCACUCAUGCAAAAGAUAUUUUCAAAAUGAAUCGAAAUGGAUGAUGGUUGACCAGUGAAAGGAAUAUGUAUGGUCAGUUUAUGGAGAAAAAGAUCUUGAUAAGACUUAAACUUUAUAAACAGAAUCACUACAACUGGGACAUAUAUGGAUAUACGACAAUGAUCAAAUGAAUUUGCAUGCACACUGAAGUAUUGCAAAUAAGAGGAAAGAGAAAACUCAACACAGAGUUAUUUUUAAGAUCCAGAUGUGAGAAGUGAUAAAAAAAAAAAGAAUGGUGAACAACUAAUAUCCUAUUUGGAUACGACACUGAAAAUACAGGAAAAAAAUUCAAAGGGUUCAUUACGCCAGUUUUGAUUGUUGAAGAGCUUUGUGUUCUAAUGAUCGUUUGAAGAUCUUUUGUGGAAUUAUUUUUUAUUAAAAUAUAAUCAAUGCAUUUCUUUAUUUAUAACACGCAUUCACAAUGUUUAAUCCAAAAUCUUCUUUAAAUUAAAUUUUACUGUGUUUUUAA